CCUACGGGUGGCAGCAGUGGGGAAUAUUGCACAAUGGGGGAAACCCUGAUGCAGCGACGCCGCGUGAGUGAAGAAGUAUCUCGGUACGUAAAGCUCUAUCAGCAGGGAAGAAAAUGCCGGUACCUGACUAAGAAGCUCCGGCUAACUACGUGCCAGCAGCCGAGGUAAUACGUAGGGGGCAAGCGUUAUCCGGAUUUACUGGGUGUAAAGGGAGCGUAGACGGCAGCACAAGUCUGGAGUGAAAUCCCGGGGCUUAACCCCGGAACUGCAUUGGAAACUGGGCGGCUGGAGUGCAGGAGGGGUGAGCGGAAUUCCUAGUGUAGCGGUGAAAUGCGUAGAUAUUAGGAGGAACACCAGUGGCGAAGGCGGCUUACUGGACUGUAACUGACGUUGAGGCUCGAAAGCGUGGGGAGCAAACAGGAUUAGAUACCCGGGUAGUC
rnacentral:rRNA from 1 species